rnacentral:rRNA from 1 species
UACGAAGGGGGGCUAGCGUUGCUCGGAAUUACUGGGCGUAAAGGGCGCGUAGGCGGAUAGUUUAGUCAGAGGUGAAAGCCCAGGGCUUAACCCUGGAAUUGCCUUUAAGACUGCAUCGCUAGAAUCGUGGAGAGGUGAGUGGAAUUCCGCGUGUAGCAGUGAAAUGCGUAGAUAUGCGGAGGAACACCGAUGGCGAAGGCAAUCCCCUGGGCCUGCACUGACGCUCAUGCACGAAAGCGUGGGGAGCAAACAGG